rnacentral:rRNA from 1 species
CCAAGGAGUCUGGCGCGCACGCGAGUCGCGGGGUCGUACGAAACCCGCAGGCGCAGUGAAAGCGAGGGUCUCCUCGUGAUGGCUAGAUCCCGCGCAUCCUCGUGCAUGUGUGGGCACAUCGCCGGCCCGUCCUGGCCGCGUCGCCGGGACCCGAAAGAUGGUGAACUAUGCCUGAGCAGGGCGAAGCCAGGGGAAACUCUGGUGGAGGCCCGCAGCGAUUCUGACGUGCAAAUCGAUCGUCGAACUUGGGUAUAGGGGCGAAAGACUAAUCCAACCAUCUA